CAGCCGCCGCGGUAAUACGUAGGUGGCAAGCGUUGUCCGGAAUUAUUGGGCGUAAAGGGCUCGCAGGCGGUCUCUUAAGUCUGAUGUGAAAGCCCACGGCUCAACCGUGGAGGGUCAUUGGAAACUGUUUAACUUGAGUGCAGGAGAGAAAAGUGGAAUUCCACGUGUAGCGGUGAAAUGCGUAGAGAUAUGGAGGAACACCAGUGGCGAAGGCGACUCUCUGGUCUGUAACUGACGCUGAGGCUCGAAAGCGUGGGUAGCGAACAGGAUUAGAUACCCGCGUAGUCCCUGUCUCUUAUAC
rnacentral:rRNA from 1 species